rnacentral:piRNA from 1 species
UGAGACCCUCAAAGAUAAUUCCUGAGCUC